rnacentral:rRNA from 1 species
UUGAUCCUGGCUCAGGAUGAACGUUGGCAGUGUGCCUAAGACAUGCAAGUCGAACGAAGCGCUUUAGUUUGAUUUCUUCGGAAUGAAGACUUUAGUGACUGAGUGGCGAACGGGUGAGUAACACGUGGAUGACCUACCCUGAAGUGGGGGAUAACCUUGGGAAACCAGGACUAAUCCCGCAUGCGCUUACUGGCUAUGGUUGGUAAGGAAAGAUUUAUCGCUUUAGGAUGGGUCCGCGGGCCAUCAGCUAGUUGGUGAGGUAAAGGCUCACCAAGGCAACGACGGCUAGCCGGCCUGAGAGGGUGAACGGCCACAGGGGUACUGAGACACGGACCCCACUCCUACGGGAGGCAGCAGUUAGGAAUCUUCCACAAUGGGCGCAAGCCUGAUGGAGCGACACUGCGUGAGGGAAGAAGGCUUUCGGGUUGUAAACCUCUAAAAGUAGGACGAUAAUGACGGUACUACUUGAGAAGCACCGGCUAACUCCGUGCCAGCAGCCGCGGUAAUACGGAGGGUGCAAACGUUAUCCGGAAUCACUGGGCGUAAAGGGCACGCAGGCGGUUAGUUAAGUCUGAUGUUAAAGCGUGGGGCUCAACCCCAUACGGGCGUUGGAUACUGGCUAACUAGACUCUUGGAGAGGUAAGUAGAAUUACCAGUGUAGCGGUGGAAUGCGUAGAUACUGGUAGGAAUACCAAUAGCGAAGGCAGCUUACUAGACAAUGAGUGACGCUGAGGUGCGAAAGUGUGGGGAGCGAACCGGAUUAAUACCCGGGUAUCCACACCCUAAACGAUGCAUACUUGGUGNGGUGCGC